AGUGAACGCUGGCGGUAGGCCUAACACAUGCAAGUCGAACGGCAGCACAGUAAGAGCUUGCUCUUACGGGUGGCGAGUGGCGGACGGGUGAGGAAUACAUCGGAAUCUACUUUUUCGUGGGGGAUAACGUAGGGAAACUUACGCUAAUACCGCAUACGACCUACGGGUGAAAGCAGGGGAUCUUCGGACCUUGCGCGAUUGAAUGAGCCGAUGUCGGAUUAGCUAGUUGGGGGGGUAAAGGCCCACCAAGGCGACGAUCCGUAGCUGGUCUGAGAGGAUGAUCAGCCACACUGGAACUGAGACACGGUCCAGACUCCUACGGGAGGCAGCAGUGGGGAAUAUUGGGCAAUGGGCGCAAGCCUGAUCCAGCCAUACCGCGUGAGUGAAGAAGGCCUUCGGGUUGUAAAGCCCUUUUGUUGGGAAAGAAAAGCAGCAGGUUAAUACCCCGCUGUUCUGACGGUACCCAAAGAAUAAGCACCGGCUAACUUCGUG
rnacentral:rRNA from 1 species